rnacentral:rRNA from 1 species
CUGCUGCCUUCCGUAGGAGUCUGGGCCGUGUCUCAGUCCCAAUGUGGCCGUUCAGCCUCUCAGUCCGGCUACCGAUUGUCGGUUUGGUGGGCCGUUACCCCGCCAACUGCCUAAUCGGACGCGAGCCCAUCUUUCAGCGGAUUGCUCCUUUGAUAUCAGUGCCAUGCGACUCCGAUAUUUUAUGCGGUAUUAGCGUUCGUUUCCAAACGUUAUCCCCCUCUGAAAGGCAGGUUGCUCACGUGUUACUCACCCGUCCG